AGAUAAAAAUGGACUUCGCAACAAGUUAAAUGAGGUGAGGACAACACCCUCUCAAAAUUUAAUGAAACUUUCUAUGUGUAUGAGAGAAGUUUUUUCCUCAAAACUGUCCAUUUUAAAUUGUUCAGAAGAGUGUUCAGGCUUGUCUGUUCCUUUUAAAAAUAAUUUAAUGUUUUUCAAAUCAUUCUUCUCAGUGUUUUCUCAGAUCUCAAAUUUAUUCUUUUAUUCAAUUUUUUUUUAAUAUAAAUUCAUACAAUUUCCUAAUAAUCAUCAAUUGACAAAUUCGCUCAAUCUUUUAUUAUUAUUUAUUAUCGAUUUAUGAAAAACUUCAGCCUUAUAUUCUUCUAGUUAGUUUUUUUUUUAAAUUAAGUAUGCAAUGUUGCUUAGUUUACUAAGGUUACACACUUGACAACACACUUACAAAGUUUCAUUAAAUUUUGAGAGAGUGCUGCCAACAUCUGGGCAGGCUGGCGCGUUAUUUCAUGAUGUUGAUGCACGAUUUUCUUUUCAUGAGCAUAGGUUUAUAUUAGAGUAAGCGAACAGGUGAAUAUAUACAGUUACAGAUACAGUUUCCAAUUCCAACGCCAUUCUUUUAUUCACAACACACUUACAAAGUUUCAUUAAAUUUUGAGAGAGUGCUGCCAACAUCUGGGCACUUGUUUGUUCGCAGAUAGGGUCCAGUGCUGCAUAGGGUAUUUUCUCAGCUAAACACUUUCCAACUGAAGCAAAAUAUUCAUUAGUUUCAUCAACCAGAGACUGUUUUUCUUCGACCGUAGAACCACUUUGUGUGAUUGUGUGGGAUUGUUUUGGUUUAUUUCCCAGAACUUCCUUGAUGGUGUCCCAGGUUUUAAUAAUGUUACCCCUGUAACAAUCGAAUUUUGUUGCGUAAUAUUCCUUCAUCUUCUUUCGUUUAAUCUCAGUCACAUUAUUGCACCAGAUACCAUAUAUAUGUCGAGUGAAUUCAUCCGAGCGAUCACGUCUAAGUUUCGAGUACCAAUAGUUCUUGGUUCGUAUACACAUCUUCAUCUCCUGAUCGGCCCACGGCUUUGAGUGUGUACAAUUUGCUGGUUUUAUUUUGAUGUGUGUGGACGCUCGUGAGACACCUUCCUGGAUACCAGAGAUAAGAGAAAUAUAAUUCUCUCAACAUCUCUCCAGCAGCAUGUUGAUAUUUGGUUUUCACGCAGGAACUCACUCACAGCUGGUAGGUUUAUUCUCGAAUAGGGCUGGCAGUGCUUAGGUUCAUUACCAGUUGGAUGGUUGAUCUCAACAAAUAUCGCAUUGUGAUCGAAAAGACUAUAUUGCAGAUGUUGCAGUGAGAUCCCGAUAUUGGUAUUGUUUGUAAUAAUGUGGUCUAAGCAUGCAUCGUAUCUCGUCGGUGUUGAGUCACAAAAGUGAAAACUAUUCGAGAACACUGUGUUUUUAUAUUUCUCCACAACGGGCGUUGUAGAGUUCAAGUCAAAGCUAAAGUCCCCUAGCACGAAAGUAUUGGCACGUUGGCCAGAAAGAAAGUCAUCUAGAAGAUCGAAGAAAUCAUCUACCUUUAAGGCUAGUGUCUGAGGUGGUCUGUAUAUACUCACAAGAGUGAUUUUUUUUCCGAGUGCUGAUAUCGACAGCAACAAUACUGUUAUACUCAUCACAGUAGCUACGGACAAGUUUGCAUUGGAUAUUUUUGUGGAUAAAUAGAGCUGAACCACCUCCUCUUCUUGUCGAUCGUGAUGCAAAGAAGCAUUUAUAGUUUUGUAAUGACAUGGAUAUUUCCGUAUCUGCAUGCUACCAUGUUUCCGUAAUCGAGAUGAUUUCAGCCGGGCUGGGCAGUUCAUCCAGCAAGUACUCCAAUUCGAGAACGGAGGUACCAUGGAGAGCCUACUUUUAAUGGCCGAGAACGAUUUAAAAAGCAUGGGAAUCGAUAAAAAAGGACCGACUGUUCUAAUCCUGGAUUUUAUCAACACAUCGAAGGCUUGUCUUGCUGAAGAUGAAAAUGUUCAAGAGUCUCUGGAACCAGACAUCGCAUCUACUACUUUGACGGAUAAUGAACUGGAAUCAAUCUUAGAGCAACAUCCACGUUUUCAAGGCAUAUACGUCAAAAAGUUGGCUCCCAAUGGUACUCUGCAGCAUGGAGAGUUACUACUUAUGACAAGAAUCAUUUCUACGGUCGGCGCAUUUGGGAGGACCAAAACUACCCAACAAAUUUUGAAAAAAAAGAUGCUUGCUGAGCGAAUCGUCAGGGCACAUCCCCAGUAAGGCAAACCUGUUUCCUGUCGAGCACCUCUCGAGUCGGUGUUUUUUUAUAAGAACAAUGGUGAAGCUAAACGACCACAUAGUGGAUAUAUUGAACAACGCGUGUCCAAUAUGCACAAAGAAGUACCUUUGGAUAAGAGAAAAUUCCGACGAAAAAAAAAACAUGCCAAAUUUGGAAUUUGUUACAGAGCAAAUGACUGCAAGUGCAGACAUGCUGACAGCUUUGGAAGCAACGGCCCAGAACUGUCUCGAAAUUUCGAUGCUCAUGAAACAGUGCUUCUCGAUUCAUAGGAACAUGAUAACGCAGGGAAAAAAUGUUCAUCAGAUUUACAGUUAUUUCCCUCAUCUAAAGUCAUAUCAGGGUCUUUUAGUGCAACAAGCGUUUGAAGGAAGUUUGAAAAGAAUACUGUCUCAAGCCCUAUUGCUACAACGUGAGGCAUUCCAUGAAGUAAAUAAUGAUUGAAGAUGCUACUGAUUACCUCGACCGUGAGAACCCUACAGCUCACAUUAUUUGUUUCGGCUCAGCGUUUCAAAGUGGCCAUUUUAUGAUUGUGCUAGGCAGGAAUUGUGGUAUCAAUAUGGGAGCGAACGCUUUACAAACAUCAGAUGUUUUUUUAAGACUUUUACUGUGUUCAACAUUAACAUCCCUGCUUUGCUUAGGCCAUUGAAUGAUUCUUUGUCCAUAAAAUUGUUCAAAACACUAACGCAUAGCUCUCGUCGCUCGGUAAAUGAGUUGGUGAAUCAGUUCGUUAGUACAGAUAUCGCUGAGCAAGCCUAGGGAAAUAAUAAUUGUUAUAUCUUUAAAAAAAAUUGUAUCUGUAAAAAUAUGAUUUAAACAACUAAAACUAAAUAUCUGUUGUUUAUUACAAAAACUAAAAAUACAAACAGAGUUUCAAA